GGCGAGCGUUACCCGGAAUCACUGGGCGUAAAGGGGGCGUAGGCGGCCCAGCAAGUCGACUGUGAAAAACCGGAGCUCAACUUCGGUCCUGCGGUCGAAACUGCUGGGCUUGAGGACAGUAGAGGGAGACGGAACUGCCGGUGUAGGGGUAAAAUCCUUAGAUAUCGGCAGGAACGCCGGUGGCGAAGGCGGUCUCCUGGGCUGGACCUGACGCUGAGGCUCGAAAGCCAGGGGAGCGAACGGGAUUAGAUACCCCGGUAGUCCUGGCCCUAAACGAUGCUCACUAGGUGUGGGGUGCGUAGAGCACUCCGUGCUGAAGCAAACGCGAUAAGUGAGCCGCCUGGGGAGUACGCCCGCAAGGGUGAAACUCAAAGGAAUUGACGGGGGCCCGCACAAGCGGUGGAGCGUGUGGUUUAAUUCGAUGCUAAGCGAAGGACCUUACCAGGGCUUGACAUGCUGGUGGUACUGAACCGAAAGGGGAAGGACCCACCGUUAGGUGGGAGCCAGCACAGGUGGUGCACGGCCGUCGUCAGCUCGUGCCGUGAGGUGUUGGGUUAAGUCCCGCAACGAGCGCAACCCCUGCCCCUAGUUGCCAGCGGUUAGGCCGGGCACUCUAGGGGGACCGCCGCCGACGAGGCGGAGGAAGGGGGGGAUGACGUCAGGUAUCGUGCCCCUUAUGUCCUGGGCGACACACGCGCUGCAAUGGGACGGACAGCGGGGAGCGAGGCAGCGAUGCUGAGCAAAUCCCUGAAGCCGUUCCUCAGUUCGGAUUGCAGGCUGCAACCCGCCUGCAUGAAGCCGGAAUCGCUAGUAAUCGCGGAUCAGCCAUGCCGCGG
rnacentral:rRNA from 1 species